GCCCAAGUGGCGGAAUGGUAGACGCAGCGGACUCAAAAUCCGCCGGUAGUGAUACCGUGAGAGUUCGAGUCUCUCCUUGGGCACCA
rnacentral:tRNA from 1 species